rnacentral:rRNA from 1 species
AUUGAACGCUGGCGGCAGGCCUAACACAUGCAAGUAGAACGAGUGGCGGACGGGUGAGUAAUGGAUGGGAAACUGCCCGAUGGCGGGGGAUAACUAAUGGAAAGGGUGGCUAAUACCGCAUACCAUUAGAGGGGCCCAAAUCGGAGUAGCUUGUUGGUGGGGUAACGGCUCACCAAGGCAACGAGCCCUAGCUGGUCUGAGAGGCUGACCAGCCACACUGGCACUGAUACACGGUCCAGACUCCUACGUGCGGCAGCAGUGGGGAAUUUUGCACAAUGGGGGCCAUCCUGAUGCCGCCAUCCCGCGUGUAUGAAGAAGCCCUUCGGGUUGUAAAGUACUUUUGGCGGAGAUGCGUUAGCCGCAGAAGAAGCCCCGGCUAACUCCGUGCCAGCAGCCGCGGUAAUUC